GUGGAACUGCAAAUGAUGAAAAAAGGAAACAAAAAAAAAAUUGAAAUCCGCAAAGCUUUUUCCAAGGAAUCAAGAAAAAUAAAUGAAUGUCAAGAGAUUAAGAAAGUCCUGUGAGGAUAAUAAGUAAAAUUAUAUGUUUGAGGAAUAUUGGAAAAAGAGAUAAAGGGAAGGAAGGCUAAAAUUAACUUUUUCCUGAGUGUACCUCUCCUUUCAACUUAAAUUGUCUCAAUCUCGUCCAAAGUCUUUCAUAACAAAUAUUUUAUGAAGAAUCUUUAAAGUUCAAAAAUGUUCUCAAUACGGAGCCGACAAUGUAUUCCCACAACCAUAAAAAGUACUUGACAACAUUGUUGCUGUAGCUCUAAUGCCAUAUCCAUGUCGCGGUGUCCAUUAGUGCGAGUCAUUAAACCAAAAUGUUCUGAAUUUCUGGUGUAACAUGUCAAUGUCUUAGCCAUAAACUAAUGCCGAACGUUGUUGCUACAAAUUAACAUUGAUGGAUGUCAUAAAUUUUUAUGUGCACUCUAAGGCCAACCUCACCCUUAGACUACAAGAUAUUUGAACACAAGGGUGUUAAGUUACAACAAUGUUGCUUUACUCUUUUUCCGGGGUUAUUUGAUUCUGCAAAUAUCGUUGAGCAGCAGCAUAUCACAAAAAUCAAUUGCAAUACAAUCCGAAUUACAUUUGUUCGGUUAUCGGAAAAGGAGAAACGUUAAUCGGGCGGUGAACGAAUUGGCUAUACACACCACAAUCCCGUAGAACAAUGCUCUGACUAUCAAAGUCCCCAAAUGGCAAUCGUUGAUUGUUGGAAAAUGACUCGUUGUCGGUGGUGAGCCAUGAAAAUCACAACAAUGAUAAUCACAACAACCACCAUAGCCAUUAAAUUUUUGGACCAGAGUUGCUGAUUUGGGGAAAUGCUCUAAAAGUUGGAUGCUUUAUAUGAAUGAAGGGCAAUGAUGAGCUUUAUAUAUUCUUAAGACCCCAAUGGACACUACAAACGUGGAUUUAUUAUUAUUAUUAUUUUUUUUAAAUAUUUCUCCAUGUUUAAAUAGUAUUAUUUUUGUGGUCCUAAUGGACACUGCAUGCGAGGUUUUGUCCAGAAUAUGAAGCAUGGGUUUACUAGCAAGUUAAAAUUUUAGAUUCGUUCCACCAGUUCAUUUUAGUACUCAAAAUUCAUAAUUUGUAUAUUAUUUCUUGAAUAAAAUUUCCGAACAAAACUUCA